GGUUGUGGCUCAGCGGUAGAGCGCUUGCCUGGCAUGCAUGAGGGACUGGGUUUGAAUCUCGGCACCA
rnacentral:tRNA from 1 species